AUGAUAAGGUUGGCUGACACAGACAAGCCAUGUCUCCAUUUGAUCUAUGAAAUGUGGGAUUCCAUGAUAGAGAAGGUCAAAAUGCCCAUCUAUAGGUACUAUAGUCCAGCUUGGAUUAAUGAAGUCCCUGGCCGUAUCAGCCCCAAUGAUGACCAUGAAGUUACAGAAAUGAGAAACAAGUGCUUUCAGAAGUUCUAUCCCGAUCAAGAGGAUUUCAAAACCAUCAAGAAGGAAUUUGCUGAUUUUGCUCUUUUCAUGAAUGCCUUUGAAAAUCGAGAUUCUAUUGAAGAUAGAGCUGAUUUUGAACCUAAACAAUGGUGGGGCACUCAUGGAAGGAAUUGGAGCACAUAUUGUUUCAUCCAUAGUUCUGGAAGAAACAAGCUAACACCUGCUAGAGCUUCUGAUUUGGUGUACACACACAACAACCAUCGCCUUGUUUCAAGGAAUUCUCAAGCAUUUGAGUCUUUUUCUGGUGUUGGCAUGCUUGAAGCUGCAGAUCUUUUACUUGAUGAACCAGAAUUGGAGGAGGAAGUCAUUGGUUCUCUCACUUGA
rnacentral:rRNA from 1 species